CUGGGGAUGAAGUGUGUGUCUGUGUGCUGGGGAUGAUAUGUGUCUGUGUGUUUGCUGUGGAUGAAGUGUGUGUCUGUGUGUGUGCAGGGGAUGUAGUAUGUGUCUGUGUGUGUGCUGGGGAUGUAGUAUAUGUCUCUGUGUGUUGGGGAUGUAGUGUGUGCCUGUGUGUGUGCUGGGGAUGUAGUGUGUGCCUGUGUGUGCUCUGCAGCC